CUGGCUCUCGAGGAUGCCUGCAUGCACCCAGCCACUCUGACUAAUGCCCUCUGGACCCCCGAACCAACACCCAUAGGGCGCACCACACUAUGGUGCACAAAAACCACUUUAAACACUUGGAAACAAUGGGCCUCAGUGGUCUUAGACACACAGACACUGUUCAAGGAAGCACCACUCACGACACUGCAGGCCAGUUCACCCGACCUCCCCCUACAAACAUGGUCGACCCUAGGGAUCCG